AGACAGUCUGCGCCUAUCGCGGGGCAUGUCCCUAUCCACGAAAGGAGCAGGAUUCCAUUUUCUACGGAGCGAAGAUUGUUGUGCAGCGGAUAAGAGCUCGCUGACUCCUGCCCAUGAGUUGUCCGAGUGUCAGACCUCUGCGACAUGUGUGAUGCCGACUGUGCGAUGGGUUUCCGCCAAGACACUCGGCGAAAGAAUAGAAAGCUAACGAACAG
rnacentral:lncRNA from 1 species